AUACUUACCUGACGCGGGGGUAACGCUGAUCAAGAAGGGUGUUCCCCCAGGGUGAGGCCUUUCCAUUGCACUUCGGUUAGGCUGACCCCUGCGAUCUCCCCAAAUAGGGGAGACUCGAGCGUACAAUUUCUGGUAGUGGGGGACUUGCGUUCGCGCGGUCCCCCG
rnacentral:snRNA from 1 species